rnacentral:rRNA from 1 species
CAUGCAAGUCGAGGGGCAGCAUAAAUUACUUGUAAUUUGAUGGCGACCGGCGAACGGGUGCGUAACGCGUAUGCAACUUACCUUUUACUAGAGAAUAGCCAAGAGAAAUUUUGAUUAAUGCUCUAUGUUCUUAUUUACUCGCAUGAGUAAAUAAGCAAAGCUCCGGCGGUAAAAGAUGGGCAUGCGUCCUAUUAGCUUGUAGGUGAGGUAAUGGCUCACCUAAGCUCCGAUAGGUAGGGGUCCUGAGAGGGAGAUCCCCCACACUGGUACUGAGACACGGACCAGACUUCUACGGAAGGCAGCAGUAAGGAAUAUUGGACAAUGGAGGCAACUCUGAUCCAGCCAUGCCGCGCGAAGGAAGACGGCCUUAUGGGUUGUAAACUUCUUUUAUACAGGAAGAAACCUUUCCACGUGUGGAAAGUUGACGGUACUGUAAGAAUAAGGAUCGGCUAACUCCGUGCCAGCAGCCGCGGUAAUACGGAGGAUCCAAGCGUUAUCCGGAAUUAUUGGGUUUAAAGGGUCCGCAGGCUGUUUGUUAAGUCAGAGGUGAAAUCCUACCGCUCAACGGUAGAACUGCCUUUGAUACUGGCAAACUUGAGUUAUUGUGAAGUAGUUAGAAUGUGUGGUGUAGCGGUGAAAUGCAUAGAUAUUACACAGAAUACCGAUUGCGAAAGCAGAUUACUAACAAUAUACUGACG